CUUAUCCCUCCAGUCACCUCACUCCUUCCCGUGGCCAGUUAGCUCCUGCAGCGCAUGGGAUUACUUUCUGAUUUGCCGCCCUUCUGAAGCCCUUCUGGGAUCUCUAAAAUUAUCCCUGACAUUUCAGAAGAAUUUUUUUCUUACAUUUUUAUUUCUCAUCACAUUCAUGAAGCACUAUCAGCUACAGAGUCAACCACGCCCUCCGCCCCCCGCGCCCCCCCCAAAGGUAUGGGUGGGUUAUUUCCCCUACUUCCCAGCAUAGAGCCUGGAGAGAGGAAGAGCUGAGCUGGUCGACCGCACAGCUUGCUGGCGGGGACACAGCAAGCCCCCCCCUCCAAACCCUCGCUGACUUAAUUCUGAUCCGUUUCCCCUUUACUUUUAGUAACAAAAUGGAAUCCAGCUUUUGUUGCACGAGACCGAAAUGUUUAGUUCGCUUAUAAUUAUUGUGUGUCUGAUGAGUUUGCAUGCAGGAGCGCGCACGUCACAACAGGCGUGUGUGGCCAGGGGCUAUCCUUUUGGGGGUCGGCUCUGUCUUUCCACUGUGGGGUUUGGGAGAUGGAAGUCAGGUCAUACGUGCUUGUACAGCAAGCACUGAGCUGCCCUGCCAACCCACAGGACAGAAAUGAACUAAAACUUGAAUAUGCAAAGAUAGGCAACCGAGUAGCGAUGAGGUAUAUGCCUGAGAGCCCGGUGUUCACCAGGCUGAAGCAAGAGGAUCGUGAAUUCAAUGCCAUAUGAACUACAUGGAAAGACCCUACCUAAAAAUACAGCCAUACAUAGAAAAAUGACAAUUGAAUUUACUGCAUAGCUGACCUUCUGAUACCCGUGUCUGUACUUCCCAAGUCGAGCCAUUACAAGCAGUGCCGCCACCCUAGGUUGAUUCUGUGUAGGGGAACAAACCCACAGCCUUGUGCAGACUAGGCAAGCACUCUACGAACUGAGCCUCAUCUCCAACCCCUUGGCCCUAUAGAUAAGCAACCAAUGUAUUCAUAAUGGCAAGAUAACUGCCAGCUCUCGAAUUCCAUUUAGCCUCAUAUCCAACAGGACUGCCCUUGCAGACCUUCCUACCAAAUGAAAUUGAACCUCGUUGGUCCUGAUUGGCCUGAUGUGGUCAUGUGCCCACCUUCUGGGAACCAAUCACUGGAAACCGGGGAACAGGCCGGAAAAAGAGGUUUUGGAGACCCAACCUUUUCAUCUGUAUCCAGUGGGAAGACCUUGUUCUACUGUGCACUGAGGAGUGUGGAUUCGAUGUGUCCCCGUGCCACAGGCUCCCAUUGCCUCGACUCUCCCUGCCAUCAAAGAUUCACCUUCAAAUUUAACGGGGCAGUGGGCAUGGGGGAAUAAAGGGAGUGGGAG